rnacentral:lncRNA from 1 species
UUCCAUCGCACACCUCCCCAUCCGCCGCAUCUCGCUUCCUCUCCCAGUUGCUUCGUCUCACUUUCAUCCUCUUUGCGUCUCUUUGAUUUCGUCGCCGUCAAGGAAAACUCCGCUUCCGUCUGAAGACUUCGACUUCUCUUGGCUUGCUCAUCGGCUGCGUCUCUUUGGUGAGAUACAAAAUUUUUUUCUUUCUCUUUCGCCGUCCUUUUCGAUUCGGUCGACACCUGGUUCCAGAUCCGUUCGUCGAUCGUAUCCAAAGUCCUCUACUCGAGAUCCUCUUGUUUUUUAGAGAUCUUGUUGCUUCAGUGCGUGGAGAUUGAGAUCUAAAAGGCAAGUAUUUCCUUUUGGUUAACUGGUUCGCAAGAAGCGAUGGCGCGUCCACGCAUGCAGAUACACUACGUCCCGCCGUACGCUACAGUGCUACACACUGCUGUCCUUGCCUCCUCCAGCUGAGAUUGCUAGUGAUUUGGCCCACGCGCGGCGGCGCGGAAGCUGUUCCAUGUUAAGCUGCAGUCGAUGCUGCUCCUCCCCCUUCUCCACCUCUCAGAGCGGCGAACGCCUGCAAAAGAAAGCAAUCAAACUAUGAUUUCCCCAUGCACGAGAGAGAUUCGAUGCUAAGCCGCAGUGGAAUGUAACGUCGAGGAAUGUCACUUUUCCUUGCAACCUUUUUAGCGUAUAUCUAUAUCUAUGUAACUGAUACGGGCUGUUGUUGCAACAACAGACCAUGGUGAUUAUUUAAAGUAAGCCUAGGAUUUAGACAACCAAAUUCUUUUGAAAGUAUAUAUGCAACAAUAUAGAAAUCCUUUCUUGCUGCAAACAUGAGACACAUUGAUGUUGGAAUUGUAGAACAAGCCUCGGUCUACCUAAUCUCUACUAUACUUAAAGCAUCAGUUUCCUCGGUCCACCUAAUCUCUACUAUACUUAAAGCAUCAGUUUUAAC